CUUUUGCGCAAAAUAUGUUGUCAUCUCUUGUUGGGAAGGCGGUGAAAUUUGAUGUUUAUUUGUCUAAUGAGCAUCUUUAGAUUUUUGUUUUAGAGGUUUUUUUUGUUUUUCAAAACAGAAGUUCACAAACUGAUAUUUUAUUUAAAUAUUUGAUUGUAGAAGUGUAACAAUUACAACUUUAUUUUUUUAGCAGCAAAACAAAGUAAAGACAUUCUUAGUAUACCAAAGUUGCCUGAAACUUGUCCCUUCUUCAGUCUGUGGCACGAGGAUAGGCAUGCUAUGUUUUAAUCUAUGCCAGAAAUCCCUAAACCAGCUAUGCCUGUUAUGUGAUUUCAGAGGCCUGUAUUACGAAGAAGGAUUUGAGGUUCAGUGAGGUAACCUGAGGUUUAACCCUGGUUAUCAGUAUCUCCAAGGUGGUUCUCUUUUAAUCUGGCUAGGUCACCAUGGUAACUCAUGCUGCGGAGCUAACCUGGUCGGGACCAGGUUUUGUUCUGAGCUUCUGCUUGAAAUUGGUAAGAAUGCCUCGAACUACUUUUAAAACAGUGUCUCAAACUAGUCAACAGUCAAUCUAUGAUCCAUACAGAGUCUCAGCGGAGAGAACUAGAUAUAAAUUCAUAUCUGUUGAGUCGUAACAUUGUAUAAAUGUCAUCAAACAGAUCCGUGCAGUUACAGUAGAGUAACUGUAUGUAUCAUUGUAGCUGUAGUUACAGUACAGUUAUUGUAUGAAACAUACUCGUAGUUAAAGUAGAGAUACUGUAUCGUAGCUGCAGUUACAGUAGAGUUACUGUAUGUAUCGUUGUAGCAGUCAACUCAUGUGUGAGGUCUUUGUUUCUCACUGAAAAGUUCUCUUGACAUUUAGAAUUCUCUGAAAUUACUCUCCUGUAUAAUAAGGGAGCAGACAUUAAUACUUCAAUAUUUUAUUAAUAAGUAUGAUGUUCACUUACAUAUGAAAUACUGUAUAAUUCCUUGAAAACAGAAUGUUAGGUUAAUUUGAUUUAUCCUGAUUGGCUGAUGAUCAUUUUAAACUUCUGGUUAAAUGCCUUAUUUUAAUAAUUUAGCUGCAACAUUAAUAAAUGUGAAAAGAGUGAA